CAUCGGAUCAGAUCAAGCGUUGUAAAGUCGAAACUGAUGUCAGAAAGUUGAAACAAGGUGUCAAUUUAUAAACGAUGUAAGUGUGAAACGCUGUAACUCGAAAUGCUGUAAGUCAAGGACUGCCUGUAUUUGCAGAACAUAUUUAUAUCAAAGCUUGCUCACACUAUGCCCCCACAAAGUGUUCGCUGCAAGACUUGAAGGCCCGAACUCAGCCACCUAGAGUUUUUUGUCACACCAGGGUUUGCGUAUCACAAGACAGCACUCCUAGGAAACUCCCUCACCUUCACAAGAUGUUUUGCUGGGCCAAGAUUAUCAAAGCUCUUACAUCCACAGUUAAUGCAUUUGAACAAAUGCCCUGAUUUUCAAAGCUAUCCAGCUUAUAGCCAUACUGGUUUAGAGGAAAAGGCAAUCAGGACUCAUGGUAGAAAUAUCUUUUAUAAGAUCAACAAGAUUUUUGCAAAAAAAAAUUCUCCUGAGUGAUUUUCAAAAGUGCUCAAUACCUAACAGCUGCCAUUGACUUCAUCCAGGGAGGCAAACAAUUGCUUUUGGAGAUGUCAUAAAAUACUCAUCAUCUUAAUCACCAGUGCUUUGGUUUAGAGUGACCUGAUUAAAUUGCAUUUCUUGUGAAGUUUAAGGGGUGGGGAGUGGGAGGAAUGGCCUUUUAAAAUUAUUUAAUAGAAAUCAGGACAGUCUGUGGGAUGACACAGCUGUUAGAUACAUUUUGGGCAUUGACACAGAAAUUCCCGGCUGUGAUCAGGCAGCCAGCUGCAGCCAGCAAAACCCACAAGGGGAAACUUCCUAAGUGAAAGCCUGCACCUGCAAGCUGUGUAUAUACUUGUUGUUUGGGUUGUUUUGAGAAGGGAAGGAAGUCUUCAUAAUAGAAGUCAGUCAAAGGAGAGUGAAACCUAAAACGUGGAAGUUGUUCAGAGGCUGAUUUGGAAACUUGAAAGGAUUCAAGGUCUCUUGCUAAUGAGUAUCUCUGUUCAGGAAAAUUUCAGAAGCUAGUAAUCAUCCUAAUAUUCAAAACCUGAUGCUAAUGUCAGUCAUCCUGCAGAAAUCAGUCACAGGUGCUUCCCUUCUGCUAAGUGUCUCUGGGGUUACAAAAAGAUGACGCAUGUGUCCCGGGAGAAACCAUUUUCUCCUGGAACAAAGAGAUCAUUCAGAUGUCUAUGUCUGUUGUCCCGAGACAAACCCUGAAAAGAUUCACAGGAUAAGAGCUAAUAGUUUGUCCUAGGAAAGUGCAUCUGAACAGUUGUCCUGGGAUUGCAUCAUUGGAUCAAUGGCAGAAAAGCGGCAGGGCAUUCAGCCGCUUGCUAAUUCCUGACUGGAAGGGCAAUGUGUGUACACACCGAUCCUGUGACUUCUCUGUUCUGGAACAAACACGGGCACAGCUGAUCCCAGGACAAAUGCAACAUCUGUUCCAAGCCUGCAUGUCAUCUCUGGGGAUUAAACCAGGAAAACGAUGCAUCUAGAAACAUUGCCAUCCAUUACCUUAGAAGCAGUAGUAGACUAGAGCUUCUUUACCUGGUCCGGCACCAGUUGAGGAACAAAGAUGCAUGUGGCAAGCGUGUUACACACACAGAUUUAAGCCUACAAACUCAACUGUAUUAAGUACUCAUUCAGUCAAGCUGAAUAGCACCUCGCUCUGUUAGUAGACUUAUUGAUUUUUAAUCCAGCCAUCAGUAUUCAGAGUUUGCUCUUGCAACUGUGGGAUCAGUCACCACUACAUGAUUGUUUCUGUUGCCUGAUUGGAUGGUUAUAAACUACUUUAUUUCUAUCUGCAAUGAAUUUUGGUUAAUCACAAAUUGGAUUUUGCUUCUUGAUUAAGCCUAUAAUUUAGUCACAGCCACAACCAUCAAUAUUCACAAACAUUGAGCAAGAAAAUCUGCAGAAAUCAAACAGAAGUAAGAUAUGGACAUAGCUGAAAUGAAAUGGAAAACACCAAAAUGCUCACA